GAAGCACCGGCCAACUACGUGCCAGCAGCCGCGGUAAUACGUAGGGUGCAAGCGUUGUCCGGAAUUAUUGGGCGUAAAGAGCUCGUAGGCGGUCUGUCGCGUCGGCUGUGAAAACUCGGGGCUCAACCCCGAGCCUGCAGAAGAGGAGAGUGGAACUCCAUGUGUAGCGGUGGAAUGCGUAGAUAUAUGGAAGAAC
rnacentral:rRNA from 1 species